GCCCUAGUGGUCUAGUGGUAGAAUAGUACCCUGCCAUGGUACAGACCCGAGUUCGAUUCUCUGCUAGUGCA